AGUCGGUGCAUGAUUUUCCAUUAUACAACAAGGAUCAAUGUGGUCGCAGCCGUCUACAGUUCAGUGGUUCACUGGUAAUUAACCAACAACUACUGGAGAUGAUGAUUCCCGGAACAAGCUGGCACUUUAUCCGGACGAUGGAAAAUUUCCUAAAGCACAACUCCAAAGUAUUUCAUUAGCGAGGCAAGCAACCCUAUUUACUUAUGUAGAAAGAAGUCCGUCCGUCAAUGAGGAAAGGCAUGUGGUGGAAUACGCAGGCUACCAAAUCUCAGCAAAAUUUAAGAACUGAGAGCAAAAAUGAAGUACCGUCUUCAUAAAUUUCAGUUUCGCAUGGCUCGGGAACAAGUAUUACGAUGAUGAUGAUGAUGGUGGUUUGAGUAAAUUUCGUGUGCAAAAUUGGUUCCCAAGAAAUAUGACGAUCAUAACGAAGCCUGGUUUUGCACAAGUAAAAGAUUGGGAAUUCACCGCUUGCUUGUAACACGAAUACAAUGUGCAAACGCCGUUGUCCAAGUUGUGCAUAAGGAAAUAUGUGUAAGAUGCAUGUAAAGCAUGGAUAUUGCAAUAAACCCGUGUAAGCAGAAGCAUGGAUGCAUGUA